rnacentral:rRNA from 1 species
AGUGAACGCUGGCGGCAGGCCUAAUACAUGCAAGUCGAACGGCAGCACAGUGGGGCUUGCUCCAUGGGUGGCGAGUGGCGGACGGGUGAGGAAUACAUGGGAAUCUGCCCAUUCGUGGGGGAUAACGUAGGGAAACUUACGCUAAUACCGCAUGCGCCCUUCGGGGGAAAGCCGGGGAGCUCUGGGCCCGUUGCGCUUGGGAGUGCCCAUGUUGGAUUAGCUAGUUGGCGGGGUAAAGGCCCACCAAGGCGACGAUCGGUAGCUGGUCUGAGAGGAUGAUCAGCCACACUGGAACUGAGACACGGUCCAGACUCCUACGGGAGGCAGCAGUAGGGAAUAUUGGACAAUGGGCGCAAGCCUGAUCCAGCCAUGCCGCGUGAGUGAAGAAGGCCCUCGGGUUGUAAAGCUCUUUUGUCGGGGAAGAAAAGCAGCGGGCUAAUACCCCGGUGUUCUGACGGUACCGAAAGAAUAAGCACCGGCUAACUUCGUG